UACGUAGGGGGCAAGCGUUGUCCGGAAUUAUUGGGCGUAAAGAGCGUGUAGGCGGUCCGGUAAGUCGGCUGUGAAAGUCCAGGGCUCAACCCUGGGAUGCCGGUCGAUACUGCCGGACUAGAGUCCGGAAGAGGCGAGUGGAAUUCCUGGUGUAGCGGUGAAAUGCGCAGAUAUCAGGAGGAACACCGAUUGCGAAGGCAGCUCGCUGGGACGUUACUGACGCUGAGACGCGAAAGCGUGGGGAGCAAACAGG
rnacentral:rRNA from 1 species